AAACCGCCGAUCCCUACUUGCCUUCCCCGAUCUCCCCUCUUCCUCUCUCUGUUCUCUCUCGCGGACAAGCGGCGCCAAAGGGAUUAGGGCUUUCAGCUCCGGCGAUCCUCCUCUACCGACAUUGGCGGCCGUUGAGCUCAGAUCCGGGCGGCGCUAUUCCUCUCUGGAUCAUGGACACGGCGUUGCGUCUUCUCUAGUCGACAGCCGGCCUUUCUUCCCCGAUCCGACGAACCGUGCCCUAGGUUCGUCGUCGGUGCAGAUCGGAGCUCGGAGCACAGAGUCGGAUCCGAUCAGUGGUCGCGACGACAAGCCGUGCCUUAGCAGCGAUCCUUAAGGUCACGGGAUUGAUUUCCAGGUGAGGUUUGGUGAUCAGUGAAGUGAGGGUCUGUUGCUGUGAGGCUGGAAUUGUGAUCUUCUUAUUUUGAUUCGAUUGAUCCAGUAAGGUUAGCAUCUGUGAUAGUGAAGUGAAUUCAGCAUAAGUGUUCUGUAGGUUGGGAGGUUCCUUGUUCUUGAUUCAGCAGAGGUGUUCUUGUUCUUGUGAGGUGCUGUUCUGUUCUGUGGAUUUGUGAUCGUGAGGUGUUUCCUUGCCGACAGCACUCCAACCAGCAAUAGUAUGGGCUGUGAAU